GAUGAACGCUGGCGGCGUGCCUCCCUCAUGCAAGUCGAACGAAGCUCCUGGACUUGAGUUUUCGGACAAGAGAAAGGGAUGACUUAGGGGCGGACGGGUGAGUAAGGCGUGAGCAACCUGCCUUUCAAAGGGGGACAACAGUUGGAAACGACUGCUAAUACCGCAUAAAGUAUAUUGGGGGCAUCAUCGAUAUACCAAAAAUUUUAUCGCUGAAAGAUGGGCUCACGUCUGAUUAGCUAGUUGGGGAGGUAACGGCUCACCAAGGCUGCAAUCAGUAGCCGGACUGAGAGGUCGAACGGCCACUUUGGGACUGAGAUACGGCCCAAACUCCUACGGGAGGCAGCAGGGGGGAAUAUUGGGCAAGGGGCGCAAGCCUGACCCAGCACCGCCGCGUGAAGGAAGAAGGUUUUCGGGUUGUAAACUUCUUUUGGCAGGGACAAAAAAAAUGACGGUACCUGCAAAAUAAGCUCCGGCUAACUACGUG
rnacentral:rRNA from 1 species